rnacentral:lncRNA from 1 species
CCGUUGCAUCCUAUCUUCAUAGUUAUAUAUGUACCGCUUUUUUUUAUUUGGUCUUUUGCAUGAAUUCAAUCUGAAACAAGCUAGUCACUAGUUAGUUGGUAUGUUGACACCUUAUCAAAAAAUAUGUUUCUAUUCUAUGAAUUUAAGUAUGCUUGUGAAUUCAAGUAGAAUUUACAGAUUUCAUGGGUUCAGUGUAAUGUAAACCUAGGCUGU